UACGGUCUUUCAUGUAUUUUAUCACACAGAAAUAUUUGAAAGAUCCUGAUGCUGAAUUUGUAGCUCGAGUUCCUCCCUUAUUACAGCCUUUGGUAAAACAAGAGGAUUGGGAUGCUUUUGUUGCCUCACGGCGUGAGAAGGAAUUCAAGGAAUUAAGUACACAGAAUAAGGAGAGAGUAGCGAAGAACGAAUAUCCUUAUAGAGCAGGGAGGUUGGGGUAUGCAGGCAUUGAGCAUAAACAAUUAGAGGAGGAGGGAUCAGAGGUUACCAUAUCCCGCUAUAAGCUCUGGGCAUUGGCACGCACUAAUAAAGAAGGAAUUAUUGACAACCCCCGCGUGAAGGAGGUUACUGAAAAGAUUGUAAGUAUUAUAUUUAUCUACUACUUAAUAAUUAAUUAUGAAUAUCCAAACUAAACAUAUUUACUCUACACAGGAUUCCAUCUCUCAGGAAGUCUCACAGGGCAACCUUCCUGAGGAUGAGGAUAUCUUGGCUAGGGCGUUGGGAACUGCUGACCACCCUGGUCGUGUCAGGGGUGUUGGCUUCGGAGUCACGAAGAAGCAAUAUUUUGGCAAGAUAAAAAAGCGAACAUCAGCUUCUUCGUCUGAGGUCUAAGAGCUGAGAGAAGAGCAAGCCGUUAUGAAGCAGCAACUACUAGCCCAGGCAGCAUUAAUUGACAUGUUAUUGAAAGGGCAAGUCCUUGGGAGGACUUUGGGUGAGAUUAGCCCUAGUCAGAAAGAUAGCUGCACAGUCCCCUCAGAAAAACUACCUGAGGGCGAGAACGAUUGCAAUUGUUUGGCAGACACUCCUGAACGUAGAGUGGUUGUAACAGGGCGUGUGUACAACAUUCUCGGGGACACAAUCCAUAAUCAUCCCCUCUCACCCGACUGUGUUAGAGUUUCUCUACUUGUUGCCAUCGACCCCAACUA